UAGUUGGUGGGGUAAAGGCCUACCAAGACUAUGAUGUGUAGCCGGGCUGAGAGGUUGAACGGCCACAUUGGGACUGAGACACGGCCCAAACUCCUACGGGAGGCAGCAGUAGGGAAUUUUCGGCAAUGGAGGAAACUCUGACCGAGCAACGCCGCGUGAACGAUGAAGUAUUUCGGUACGUAAAGUUCUUUUAUUAGGGAAGAAUAAAUGAUGGAAAAAUCAUUCUGACGGUACCUAAUGAAUAAGCCCCGGCUAACUAUGUGCCAGCAGCCGCGGUAAUACAUAGGGGGCAAGCGUUAUCCGGAAUUAUUGGGCGUAAAGGGUGCGUAGGCGGUUAAAUAAGUUUAUGGUCUAAGUGCAAUGCUUAACAUUGUGAUGCUAUAAAAACUGUUUAGCUAGAGUAAGAUAGAGGCAAGUGGAAUUCCAUGUGUAGUGGUAAAAUGCGUAAAUAUAUGGAGGAACACCAGUAGCGAAGGCGGCUUGCUGGGUCUUUACUGACGCUGAGGCACGAAAGCGUGGGGAGCAAACAGGAUUAGAUACCCUGGUAGUCCACGCCGUAAACGAUGAGUACUAAAUGUUGGGUAAAACCAGUGUUGAAGUUAACACAUUAAGUACUCCGCCUGAGUAGUACGUACGCAAGUAUGAAACUUAAAGGAAUUGACGGGACUCCGCACAAGCGGUGGAUCAUGUUGUUUAAUUCGAAGGUACCCGAAAAACCUCACCAGGUCUUGACAUGCUUCUGCAAAGCUGUAGAAACACAGUGGAGGUUAUCAGUUGCACAGGUGGUGCAUGGUUGUCGUCAGCUCGUGUCGUGAGAUGUUGGGUUAAGUCCCGCAACGAGCGCAACCCUUAUUGUUAGUUGCCAGCACGUAAUGGUGGGGACUUUAGCAAGACUGCCAGUGAUAAAUUGGAGGAAGGUGGGGACGACGUCAAAUCAUCAUGCCCCUUAUGACCUGGGGUACA
rnacentral:rRNA from 1 species